UGGGAGAGCAGUUAGUGCUCUUAACUGCUGAACCAUCUCUCCAGUCCUGCUGUAGAUGUUUUAAUCACAUAUAAAUUACUAGUCAAAUAUUUUAAGUGGUGUCCAUUGGCUGUACUCAGGCAUUUGCUCUAGGAGUGCAGUGAACACAUAGGGUUCUAUUUGGCUCCACUUUGCUCUUCAUAAUCUACUUUUCAGAACACCCCUAUUACCUUUUUUUUUUUUUAAUCAAGCUUUUUUUUUUGAUUCUUUGUGAAUAUCACAUCAAUUCCACUGAUCUCCCCACCCCUCCAUAGCCACCCUUGCAAACCUCUCUUCCAAAAGAAAACAAAGAUUAAAAAAAAUGAAUUUGGUUUUUGUUUGGUUUCUAUUGGAUGAAUUAUUUAAUUCUUAGAAAACCAGAGCAACACUCAACCAUGUAUUGCUAUGAUUAGAAAUUUUAAAAGAAAUCAAGCAUAAACGUACUCUCUGUAUUCAAAGUACCCAGCUAUAACAUAUAAUAGAUACAUGUAAAUGGUCAAAUUAUUAUUGGCACACAUUAGCAUAUUGAUUGUCUCACAUAGUUAGCUAUUCCUCUGCCCCGAGAGCAGUGCUGAUUUCCUCAUUUAACAAUAGCCCUGUAUAUCGUAUUAGUAACUGAGUCCUUAUGUUGGCCUCUUUCUUUUGUGGUGCUGAGUUAGACCCAGAUCUUGAUGAAAGGCAAGUCCUCUGCUACUAAGCUCUAUCCUUAGCCCCAAACUCUUUGUACAUUGCUGUGUCUUAUUUAUCUACUGAUGGAUGUUCUUAAGGAAAAUUUAAUAUACUUUCUACUCCGGGUUUAAAAUCAUAAGCGAAGCAUCAAUGGGAGGAAAAGCAUCGAAACUUACAGCUCAGGCAGUCCUGUGUGGAGCUAGACAUGACAUUGGUUUUGUUUACUAGAUAUGCCAAGAGACACAGCAGCAACCUUUAUUUUUGUGGCCCUGGUCCUUAUUCACAGCCUUUUGUGUGGCUUUUCACAAUAUAUUUCUAGGGAACAAAGUUCACUGUAGUCUCAAAGCAAAUAUGUGCUCCCGUUUUUAAACCAAGCAUUUUAAUACAUUAUUAUUACUUGAGCUAAUAACACAUAGUCCUCUGUCAAUGAACUAAAAAGGUACAAAGUUCACAGUAGUUCCCAGAUAGCUUCGUAAUUACCCAGACAGCUUGUUGUUAGAAAAGCUGUUAAAAUCGAGGAUUAUGAAAUAUACUGAUGGUUAUUUUACUCCCAUGGAGUUUCUGAAGAUUGUUAGUACAUUUGUCUAUAAUUAUGUACAAAAUCUCAGAGUCUUCAUUAGUGAAAUUUAUAGUGUAAGCCAGAAUGAUUUCAUGUAAACUGUACUCGUUCCUCCUUUCCCAUUCUCUGUCUUAACCCUUGAGUCUUAGUUGUUAAGCUCACACUAAGGAUUCUUCCUGUCUUUUUAUUCCUUACCUCCCCAUUGGCUAGGUUUGAGGUUUUUUAAAAUUAUUAUUAUUAGUUUAUUUAUUAUGUAUGUGUUUGUGUAUUCCCAAUUUGUUUGGGGGAAGAUCUAGAAAGUAUAUCAGUGAUUACAUUUAUUGAAUGUCCUUUAUGUGUGUUUUAGCUUUUUAAGUCUCACAUAGGUUAGGGUGUUAUCAAACUCUAUGUAAGCGAGGAUGACCUUGGCCUUCUGAUCCUUCUAUCUCUUGAGCAGUGGGACCAGUAUGCACUACCACACUGGAUUAGACCCAGUUUUCUUGUAUGCUAGGCAAGCACUCUACCAACCAAAUUAUAUCUCCAGUCUUUUUUUAUUGCAGUUAUUAAAAUAAAUCCCAAAUAAAGGAAUUUCUUCAGGUUCUGAGAACUUCUGAAAGGGAAGAGAAGGUUGAUUAAGGUAUUUAAUGCCACAAAACAGCAUCCUUAAUGUGUUCUCUUUGUUACAUUCUGUCAUUGCCUUUAGGUGUUCCUGGCCUCAAGCAUAAGAACAUACUCUAGACGGGGACUCAUUCAUGUCAUAUUUGAGUAUAAGGACAAAUCUGUGGUGUGUUUCAAGUCCUGACCCAGUAUGUAGACUGAACAGACGUGCUGAUAAUUACAGCAGCAAAGGUAGCCUUUCUGUGGUAGGAGGUUUGUUAACUUAUGUGCGAAUAUUUUCUUUCCUUUCUAAAAUAUUGUAUCAUACCUACAAUUUGUAUUCCUUACUGAGGUGUGCUGAACCAUGAUGGAGCAAGUAAUACUUUGAGUUCCUGGGAAUGGAUUGGAGAAUAGAGAAGAAUAAAUGACUAGUAGAUGACUGUCCUGAAAGGCAGAAAGAACAAAUUUAUAGAAUGGGAUGAAGUGUUAGAGCCAAAGUGAGCUGAUCAGUGUCCAUGUGCUUCUAGCAUCUUUGGCCUGCAAAUCUGGGUUUUUUCCUUUUAGACCAGGGACCUCUACUCAUUAAAUUCAGUCCUGUCUAGUCUUUGGUCUUCAUUUUCCAUGAUUUAUACAUUCCAUGUAUGAUUCCUUCAUGGAGGCAUAAGUCAGGAUACCAAUCACUUCAGUAGUGUUUAUUAUUAUCAUUAUGAACUCAAAAUUAUCAUUAGGAUAGAAACAAUAAUUAUAGUAAUAAAUGCUGCAGGGUAUCUGAGGUUAAAAUAGUAAUAAUAGUCUUCCAUGCUUGUCCCUGUGUUUGGUUAUUGUUUGAACCAUGGACGCAGUGAUGCGUGCUGAUAGAGGUGUUCUAUUACAAAGAAGCAGUGCAGAAACGUGUAUCACAAAGACAUUUGGGCUGUCAUGGCCUGAAAGUGACAUGUGGAUAGAGAUGAAAAGCCAAAUUUCAGCUGGUUGUAGAUUUCCAUCUCAAGUUUUUUGUGGAAUCAAGUAGGUAUACAUUUUUUUCAAUGGAUACUUCAGUGGGAUGUCUUCUAAGAAAUUCUUAGGGAUUCCUAAGUUAGGGCUUUGAUGUUUUCUUAUACCUUAAAUUUUGUGUUUUAGCAGCAAGUUACUGUGCCAACAAAGCUUUUGUAUUAGUGUACCUAUUCAGUGCCACCGGCCUGGCAAGUUCCAGAUGUCAGCAAAUCUACCAUUCCUUGAUGAUUAUCUCUUCUCAUCACCCCAAUGCCUCAGUGAAAUAAACCGCCUAGAGGGGCUCCUGCUGUGGGACACUUUUUAAAGCCUUAUGGGAGGUUUGUAUCCCAUGCAAAGUCUUAUCUUUUCAUUUAAAGGUUUUAGGAGGAAUACUGAUCUGAGCACUAGGAAUUAAUUCAUUUUAUUUAGAGUUAUUCUGCUCUCUACUGUAGUUAUAAGCAUGAACUGAAGGGCAGCUUCAGCUCUUUCCUUCUGGGCUAGAAAAUACGUUUUCCGUAUAUUAAUAUUAGGUUAAUGUGGACAAUUAGUGCCUUGCAUGUGGGGUUGGUGUUAAAAUACUCUGUUUCCUCUAUUCUAAUUCUUCCUAGAUUUCAGUCUGAAGAAUCAGGCUGCAGGUUUUUUAAUUCAGCAAAAUUCUAUCGGUGCUUGAAUCUGGUGAGAAGCUGUAGUGUCUAUGAAGGCGCAUAUUCAUGUCGGUGUUUUGUUUUUCUUCUCUUUAUUGCUGCAGAAAUGACCCAGUGAAGUGAUUUCCUCUGGAAAUUUGAGUAUGAUUUCUAAGUGCUUCCACAUAUUUGUUUCCAUAAUUUUCUCUAUUAUUAGCCAAAGGCCAUAAAAUUUCAAUCACAUAUUCACAUAAGGAAACACUGUUGAUAAAGGUUUAAUGCAAUAGCUUUUCUCCUUUAUCUGACAAUAAAAUUAGUGAUAUAUAUUAUUGUGUGAUGUCCUCUCACAUUCUGAUCUCUGUUCGAGGUUGGGAAGUUGUGAGCAUUAACUUUGUUGCCUAUGCAUGCUCUUCACGGUGCACUUCGUCUUAAAGCUCUAUGUAUUAAUGUGCACACAUACACAUGCAUGUUCAGUCUUUUUCUGAACCAUUUAUAGGUUGCAAGAAUGACACCUAAUUAAUGUCAAAAACUUCAGUGCCUACUUAGGAAGGACAGGGAAUCUGCUAACGAAACAAUUGGUGAAGUGCUGUUGGCCAGUCUGUACUUCUCAUUACAGCAAGCUUUUCACUAUGUAUUUUAGAGCAAAGUGGAACAUUAUCUAGAAUUCAAAGUAUGGAUGUGAAUUAUAUUUAGUUAUUUUUCAUGACACUCUGUUUCUCUUAGUUGAACAGUCCCUUAAUUCCUCUCCACUUGUAUGGUACCGGCAUUCUGAAAGGAUACUGUGUUUGGUAGGAUGCUCUUCCCAUUCAGGAGUUGCUGACGUUCUCUUCCUACACUGAGGUUCCACUGUUCUGACAGGACCGCCGCAGUCGUGACAUUUGGUUGUCAUCUGUUACAUAAGAUAUCUCUAUGCGUGCACACUGCGCUAACCACUGAACUCAGCGCUGUGUGGUGCUAGGAGAGUGCUCCAUGGCUGAGCGCGCUGUCAGCCUUUGCAGUCUCAGAUUGCUAGUGACAUUACCUUUGCCCACUACCCUCUAGCUUGUUUCUUUGUCCAGGUUCAUCCAGGUGUAAUUGACAUGGAGCGCACUGUGUUUACAUACUUUAGGUGUAAGGUUUCAUAUAGCUGAUAAGUUAGUGACUGAAGACCUGACAGACUUAGAGUUACCAAAGCUUUACACGAAUCUUGUGGUCUUAGGCUCCAAUUCUGUUUGUUUUAGUGAACAGAGUCAAUGUAGAUUGUGUGUGUGUGUGUGUGUGUGUGUGUGUGUGUGUGUGUGUGUGAGGUGUCACAGAUCUGUAAUUCCAGGUACUCACUAGGCUAAAACAGAAA
rnacentral:sRNA from 1 species